UACGUAGGGCGCAAGCGUUAUCCGGAAUUAUUGGGCGUAAAGAGCUCGUAGGCGGUCUGUCGCGUCUGCUGUGAAAACUCAGGGCUUAACCCUGAGCUUGCAGUGGGUACGGGCAGACUAGAGUGCGGUAGGGGAGACUGGAAUUCCUGGUGUAGCGGUGAAAUGCGCAGAUAUCAGGAGGAACACCGGUGGCGAAGGCGGGUCUCUGGGCCGUAACUGACGCUGGAGGAGCGAAAGCAUCGGGGAGCGAACAGG
rnacentral:rRNA from 1 species